UGGCCAACCCCGGUGCCAAAUGGUACGGGGGUAUUUGCUAACGGACAAGCGUCUCCCGAAGGACGCUUGUGGUUCAGAACAAAACGACAGCGCUUGGACGAGCGGGAAGCGUGAGAGCUGCGAGACUCGGGACCACGCGUGAAGCCAACUUAAAGGGAGCAGGCUGAAAAAGCGAAUGGGUUCAACACCACAACAGCUCCUCGUGAAAUGUAAAUCAACAUGUCUCCAGUCUCUCUUCUACCAAUAUUAUAAUGUGUCCCAUAUCCACGACAGCGUCAAGCGCAGGAUGGGGACAGAACAAGCAUUCAGAGUCAGCCCUGGUCUGCCCUUGAUGGAGGAAACAGAAACCUCCCAGAUGCAAUGCUAUAGCAAAAGCAUCAGCUGCAGAGGAAAGAGUAUCAGGCAUUAUGGAGGCCCAAGCAACAGUCUGGGGGCAACCGGCCGGGUGUGAUGCUGCCCCACCUACUCUGACCACGAAAGAGAGAUGAACCCCAUGAGGAAAUGCAUUUGCUACUCCUAUGUGUGCAUUUUUGCCCAACUCAGCCAAUACUUUCUGUCUGAUCUUGGACAAGUCACUUGAUCUUGCUUUGCCUCCACAAUUUAAUAAAAUGGAGAAAAUAUCUGGUCCUAGCACUCAUUUGUAGAACUCAGGGAGAUAACAAGAGAAGGCCAUGGUGAACAAGGUGACAUAUUACUUAUGUUACUUGUGACUAUCAGUCAUGCUCAUUGCCCUCAAAUCUCUGAGAGUCAAAAAGCAAACAAACAAAACCCUAGGGUCUAGAAUUAGUCAACUUUUUAAAACAAAUCUACUAACUUUGUUCUCUAAGAGGCUACUCCUAAAUCAGAAUACUGUUUCCUAAGGUUUUUUUCCCCACUUUAUCAAAUAAAGACCCACCUUAAAAGAUGAAACCAAGAAACAAACAGUCAACAAUUCCAGUUGCUGUUUCUGUGUGCAAUAUAUCCUCCUAGGGAGAUGCUUUUGGGUCUGUUUUCCCUAAAUUUAAUCUUGAAGGAAAAUAGCAAAGGGGGUGAGGUGGGUAGGCACGCACACCAUCAUCAGUGAGAGUACACAGGGUUCAAAAUUUUAAAAAGUAGACAAUGAACAGAAAGAACAAGUUGAUUUUUCAGGCAGUUAAAUACCAAGAUUUUCCAAUUGAACCCUAAGGUGAUGGUAACAUGAACAGAUCCUCCUUAAACACAGCCACAGGAGCUGCUGUGGUCCAGAGUGCACCAAGGAAACAAUACGUUCUAUUCUUUCUAGACUGUAGCCUGAGAUGCUGACAAAAUGCCUUCAAAAUGAAAGCGAACCACACAAUUUCACCACACUACCAAACACCAACAGGGUAUAAUUAACACUUGAUUAACAGUCCUGUGAUAAGCUCUGCUUAAUUCUGCUCAAAAAUUGGCUGAAGUUUUUUUCUGUAAAACCAUGUAACAAGUGGGCAAUGGCCAACCUGUUCACUUGGCGUCUCUGUGACAGCUGAGGAAGAGUGACCAGGCCGUGACCAGGCCGUGUCCAUGGCAGGCCUUAUCCUCUAGCAGGGAUCCUCUUUCUUCCUGAACUCUCCUCACUCCCAACCAUCAGCAAUGCCCAGCUGGGCCCCUAAACACAGCCACUGACUUGCCCCACGUCAUUUCCUUUGGGGUCCUCUCAAGGGAAUUUCCAGUAGAAACCAAGACCUUCCUGGAGGUGGGAGGAUUACUAAAUCCUUGCUAAUUCCCACCUCUCCUGCACAGCUAGAGAAAGUCAAUAGGAAGUUGAUUUGAGAACCACUUGCCAUAAGUGAAUAAGCUGGGACCCUUCCCAUAGCAGCCCCCUCCCUCUGCCUUUGACCCUUUCGUGGUUGGCUAGCACUUCUCCCAGGAACAGAUCUAAGAAAUAAAAGGAAAACUUAACAAAAAUUCAACUCAGCCCAUUCUUCUCACCGGAGAGCUCUAGGAGAGUGUGUAAGGAGGGUGGUGCAAUGACUAACCAGAAUACACAUGUGGAUGACAAUUAUCCCAGUGCUUGUUUUAAAUGCCCCAUUCUCAUUUCUACAGGCGAUGUCUGCUUUGUGACCAAGCCAUCAUACAAAGAGUUCAUCGAUUAAUAUGCACAGAAUAAUCAAAAAAGUUUCAGGCCUGGUAUUACAAGGACUUUGUUGAUUGUGUGGUGUUGUUAAGAGUUAGAAUCGUUAAAUGAGUUGCCCAAGUUCACAAGCCUGGUCAGUCACAGCACUGGGGUGAGACCAGGGAUCUCCUGGCUCCCAGAGCAGCACUCUUUCUACCCACCCCAUGAGUCAUUAAAGCUUAACAGUGCAACUAGUUAGAAAAAGCAAAAUGAUCCUAAUAGAAGAAGGAAAACAGGAUGAUGUUCAAUGGAAAUGCAAAGCAAGAUUCCUAGCAGCCAAAUAAUUCAACUCCAAAAUGGGAACCUGCAUAGGUAAAAGGAAACAGCAGAAAAAAAGACUAAAAAAAAAAAAAUGCUUUGUAGACUACAUGUUUAUUCUAAAGGAAGAAUACAUAUCAAUUUAGUUUGUAGUAUUUUAAUAUCAUGAGUAUUAAAUUAACAGGGAUUUGAGGUACAUAAAUAAUUGCUAACAUUUCCACUAUACUUGGUAAUAGCCAAGACAUUACUACAGUACCAGGUCUAGCUUUGGCUUCCACUGGUAAGCCAUCAUAGAGGAAAACACAGAGAAAGCAGCCAAAUUAUAAAGAUAUACAGUAAGGCAGCACUUCUUAAACUUUAACGUGCUUAGGGUCUCCUGGGGAUUUGGUUAAAAUGCAGACUUGGGGUAGGGUCCAAAAUAGUGCAUUUCUAACCAGCUCUCAAGCAACCAGUUGAUCCUAUUGGUCUGAGGACCACACUCUGAGUAGCAAAGGGGUAAAGAACCUAAGAGGAAAGAGGAAACGUACUAUUUAAUUUCUAUACAAGGAUAACGAGAGGGCUUAGCUGGAGGACUAAUGAGGAGGGCUACACUGUAAGCCAUCUGUCCUCUAUCUUCAUAUGAUAAAUGGGCUUCAAUUGCAGAAAUCGUUUUGAAUGGAAACAUGAAGAAAAAUUUCCAGGUGGAGAGGGUUCUGGAACAGUUAACUAGAGAAGAAUGAGAAACCUUUGCCCCUGGGGCUCUUGAACAACAGAUUUGGAUGACUGGGGAAGACAACAAUAUCUAGAAUUCUUUAAAAGACUACUACCCACGCCCCCCUUUUUUUUUAACCCUGUGUAGGGUUUAGGCUAAGGAGAAAGGCCCAGAGACUGAGAUAGUUGACCUGCAGAAAGUGGUAUGAAAACUGUGACCCAAUACAUUUCUAUCUCUUUCCAAAGCGAAUGCAGAUUACUCUGCCAUUGAGGGUUUCUGUCCAUAGGACCUGGAGUUAGGGCCCUGCGCCUUAGCUCCAAGAUGACAGAACCAAAAAUAAACAGCCAUUCCCCACAACUCAAUGAAAUACAUCACCCUGCCCUGCAGCCAGCUUUUACCAAAUAAAUAAACCACAAGGCACAGAUCGGAGGCUAGUAUGCAAUCCAAACUCCACGUCUUUAUUAUUUGAGGGGACCACAGGUAGUAAAAGCCACCAAACUGUCACUCAGAUCUCAUCUCAAAUAAAUGAGCAGAAGUGAUACAACUACUAAAGGACUACACACCUGCAACUUCAAAAUACCAGAAGUACUGAUAUUAAGAUAUAUAUGCUCCCAUUUUCUGCUGAGUAUUAAUUCAGCCUCCAGAAUUUUCCUUAAGAACAAGGAUAAUUCUUUGAGAAGACAUCUCAACCCUGGCACCACAGAUGCUUGCAAACGUGCCUGAAGUAGCACAUUUUGUAAUAUUGGGAGAGGCAGCAAAGCCAUAAUGACUCAAUAGGACUUUUUUCUUUUAGAAAAGACUAAAAAAAAGAUGGUCUGUGUGUGCUAAUAACUUCUAUUCGGGGCAGCAGACAGUAGCGAACUGGUCCCAGCUUCUACGGGAAGGCAGACAGGCCCCGAAUUGCCAGCACGUCCUUCGGUCCUGUUUAGUACAAAGUCAGUCACAAGAUUCUGCUUUCCAGCCAGUGAAGUCUCACAGCGGUGGCCAGGCCUCAAAGAUUAGAUGGCAGUGUGAUUCCCGGGGCCUGACUCUGUGCUCUGACCCUGAGGUGCAACUUUAGGAAAACAGUAGGAAGAUGAUGAGGUGGCCAGAGAGACCCCCAAGAGCGAUUUCAGAACCACUGCUGGGCAGU